CGGAGCCCUCCGCCCCGCGCUCGUUCGCUGGUUCGCAGCCUCGGGUGUGUGUCCAGGGGCCGCUUGCAUAAACUCUGUGUUACGGCCCAGGAUGUCCCCUACCCACAGGGAUGAUGGACCCCAAAUGUCAGCACUGACAUGAGAGAGACCCUGCCUCAACAUGCAAGAGAUCCUGUUUGCUGUCUAUCUAUCAUCAACCAGUCUAUCAUCUGUCAAUUGAUCAUCUAGUUAUCAUCUUUCAAUCAUCAAUCAAUCAUCUAUCAGUUAUGUAUCUACCAUCCAUCUAAUUAUCCGGCAUCUAUCUGGUAGUCAUCUGUCUAUAUCUAUCUACCAUAUUUAUUCCUGUUGGCUCAGGUGGUAAAGAAUCUGCCUGCAAUGCAGGAGACCCAGGUUCAAUCCCUGGGGAGGAAAGAUCCCCUGGAGAAGGGAGUGGCAACCCCCUCCAGCAUUCUUGCCUGGGAAAUCCCACGUGCAUGAGGUCAAAAAGAGUUGGACUGAACGACUAUCACUUUCGCCAUAUCUAUAAUCUAUCAAUUAUCUAUCUCCUAUCUAUCUACCUACUUAACCUAUCACAGAUAACAAGCCAGUCUCAAAUAUCAGCAGUGCCAAGAAAUCCCAACCCAGCGAUGACUCAUGUGUCUGUAUCAGAAAGGGCCGGGGUCCUCUGUGGGCUGGCUCCUUCCCACCUCCCAAGACUUGGAAUCCUCCUACAGCCCUAUGAGGUGGGAUCCUUUAUCCCCAGCGUUCAAUCUUUCCCAGAAUCAGAGUCUUUUCCGAUGAGUCGGCUCUUCAAAUCAGCCCAAGUAUCAGAGCUUCAGCUUCAGCAUCAGUCCCUCCAACAUGUAUUCAGGGUUGAUUUCCUUUAGGAUUGACUGAUUUGAUCUCCUUGUAGGCCAAGGGACUCUCAAGCGUCUUCUCCAGCACCGCAGUUCAAAAGCAUCAGUUCUUCGGCACUGAGACUUCUUUAUGGUCCAAUUCUCACUUCUGUACAUGACUACUGGAAAAACCAUAGCUUUGACUAGAUAGACCUUUGUCAGCAGAGUGGUAUCUCUACUUUUUAAUAUGCUGUCCAGGUUUGUCAUAAUUUUCGUCCAAGGAGCAAGCAUCCUUUAAUUUCAUGGCUGCAGUCACCGUCUGCAGCUAUUUAAUUGCUCCCUUUUGACAAAUGGACUGCAGACAUGGGAGAAGAUGGCUUUGGGGAGGCUGAGGAGUGGAGGUAGGGGAGACAGAACUCUUUGUACAUCAUUGCAACUUUUCUGAAAUAAUAGUCUGGAUGAGCUAAACCUAUCCAAAGUAAAAACUUCCUUUUCAUGAAGUCAACAUGAAUUUUGGCCCAGAUGGGGCUGUGUCUCUGGGGGAGGCUUAUGCUUCAGGCUACAGAAUACACGGAGCCCUUUGUCACCCUCGAGAAUCGGUGACGUUGGGUCAGGGGGCCUUGGCUCACCAGACAUGAGUGUAAGGCCGCCUCGGGGCCAAGAGGAUUGGAGGGAGGAGCAGGCUUGGGAACAAGAGGGAUAAGUACCCAACCCUUUCCUUUUUCUCCCCCUCUCCUCUGGAUUACCAGAAAGUCUUGUUGGUUCUGCCUCCAAAAUGCAUCCUGAUUUUGUUCUCUCUACUACCUGGCACCACCCAGCCUUCAUCCCUGCUCCAACCCAUCCCUCUGGCCUCUUCAGCCUCGUCUCCUCCAUCACUCUGUUCCAGCCACCCUGACCCCCUUGUCCAGGACUUUUCAGCCUCCGGGCCUUUGCACUGGCUAUUCCAUCUGCC
ensembl:lncRNA